rnacentral:pre_miRNA from 1 species
AUUCUACUCCCUCCGUUGCACAAUACAUGCCUUCUAUUUGUCAAAAUAUAUAUGUAUCUAGACAUGUCUUAGUAUAUAGGUACAUACAUUUUUGGACAAAUGGAAGUCAAGUAUUUUGGAACGGAGGGAGUACACA